rnacentral:rRNA from 1 species
AUGGCGCACCACAUCGCGCGCCAGAUGGUGGGAUCGGACCCAAAUCUAGCUUACCGAGGACCGCUUGCAGAACGGACGCGGCCAUCUUUGUCAGCUCCAAGCGCCGCCGGGGGGCUUCCGCCGCGGGCUGGAUCUUCGACUUGGUUCGCAAAUCCCCCGGUGGUGUUUCCUGAAGCUCGAUCGAGCAGAUCCCAUCAACAAUCUUCGGAUCAUGGGACUGAAGGGGAAGGGAGCUAUGUCCAAGGCAAUUUUUCCGUUUAUGGUGGUGAGGAUUCAGAUGCGUUGUUGUUUGCUGAAGAUGCAAUCGAAGAUGAUUCAGAUGAUGGAGAUGUUUCAUCACAGCCACUGCCACCCUAUGUUGACAUGGUAUUUGACACACUUGAGGAUGCUCAGAAAUUCUACAAUGACUAUGCCUUCAAGUUGGGGUUCGGGACACAUAUAUCUUCCUCAAAAUUCAGCCAGAAGAGAGGCCAGAAGAAAGAGGAUCAAAUAUUGAUCAAGAGGUUCUUUGGGUGUGUGCAUGCCAGAAAGCCCGAGAAAACGGAAACGAGUAGCACAUCAGAGAGCAUUGCAACAGGAAAAAGUAACUCCAGUAGGCAGCCUAGUGAAGGAAUGGAUGUGACAAGAAAACAUCAAAAGAACAGGCUGCUCCGCCAUGAUUGUAAGGCGCACAUGAUUGUUGGGCUGAGAGAGGAGAGAUGGACAGUGACUUGUUUUGUUGCGGAGCAUACACAUCCAUUGCUGGAACAGCCAGAGUGUGUUAGGUACUAUCGGUCGCACCGCAGUAUACCUGCCGAGGAUUACUAG